ACAAGCGGUGGAGCAUGUGGUUAAUUCGAAGCAACGCGAAGAACCUUACCAGGCCUUGACAUGCAGAGAACUUUCCAGAGAUGGAUUGGUGCCUUCGGGAACUCUGACACAGGUGCUGCAUGGCUGUCGUCAGCUCGUGUCGUGAGAUGUUGGGUUAAGUCCGUAACGAGCGCAACCCUUGUCCUUAGUUACCAGCACGUUAUGGUGGGCACUCUAAGGAGACUGCCGGUGACAAACCGGAGGAAGGUGGGGAUGACGUCAAGUCAUCAUGGCCCUACGGCCUGGGCUACACACGUGCUACAAUGGUCGGUACAAAGGGUUGCCAAGCCGCGAGGUGGAGCUAAUCCCAUAAAACCGAUCGUAGUCCGGAUCGCAGUCUGCAACUCGACUGCGUGAAGUCGGAAUCGCUAGUAAUCGUGAAUCAGAAUGUCACGGUGAAUACGUUCCCGGGCCUU
rnacentral:rRNA from 1 species